rnacentral:lncRNA from 1 species
UCAGACUAUACGUGAUACCCCCUUCCCCAAAACCCAAAGUACAAUCAACAGUCGAUCCUCUAUCUUCUCUCUUCUCCCUCUCCUCCACCAUCACUAAAACAGUAACCCUAAUCCCCCACCACAGCCCAUCGUCUUCCCUAGCCGUAGACUGCAAGGAUCCACCAAAUCCAUCAUCUAUCAACCCGUAACGUCCGGUGACAGCAAACGCAGACACUAAAUCAGUGAUAAGAGCGUAAGACAGGCUUCAAAUCCACCAUUAUGGCUUUGAAAAAGCUUGGGAAAGUUGGAGAUUCGGAUUUGAAACUCAAAUUCGAUCUCGAUUCUCGUAUUUUCUUCAAAUUUGUGGCUUCAAAUCCGGACUUGGACUAUAAAAAGGGGCGUUCUUCAACCUCCAAAGGGAAAGUGAAAAAGUUAGGAGAGAAAAGCAAGAAAAGAAGAGAAAAACAAGAUCGGAAAAUUGAGAAGAGAUGGGAAAAAGGAAAUCCCAAGAAUUCUCGAUCGUCCCUUAAUUUUGGGUUAAAAGAGAGUUCCCAGAGUCGAGUUCGGUGGACGAAAUCUUGACGGAAAAUCCCAAUAUUCUGCCCCAAACAACGUGCGAGUCUCCCCUUUAUUUUCAUUCUUCGCCUUUUUUUUUUAUUUUAUUAACUCGACCGAUUUAUGAACAUGUGAUUUUGAUAUUUUGCUGUUGGCAUUUUUUUGUUACCUUUGCGGAUGAUAAUAUCAUGUUGAUUCUAAAAUGGAUUUGGUUGUAAAUUUCAAUCAAGUUCAAGUCGUUGAUUUUGAAAAAAAUGAUUUUGAAUAUAAAUUUUUUAUAAUUUUUGAUUCUGGAAUAUAAUUUUUUUUAAGUUGUUACUGUUUCUGAACAGAAAAUGUUGGUUUUAAAAUAUGAAUGCUUAUCAAGUUUAAGUUGUUGUUGGCUCCCAAAAAUGGAUUUGCCGGUGGAUAUUUAACCUUUUAGAGGAGGGGAUUUCUAGCCCAUGCUGAUUUUUGUUUGUUUUCCCACAAAAUCAAGUCCGGAUCAUAAUUGUUUUGUAAGCUUUGGGUUUGCUUUGUGUCUAAGGGUGUGAAAAUGUGUGAAAUACCACCUAUCUUCGUUGUUACAAAGAAAGGCUCUGCAAAUAUCUGAAAAACCAGGAAACAAAAAAUUUGGGUUGAAUACUAGAAAAUCGUAGAGUAGCAGACGUUUCGACAUUAAUUUGAAACUAGUGGUUCAGAUUAAUGUUGGUUUGAAGCUAGGGAAAAAUAGAUUUUGAACACUUUUCACCUUUAUUUGAAAUUUAUAAAAGUCUACGUCGCUUUAUGAUGUGUUAGGUGAGUUCGUUCUACUUCAAGUUGGUCAUUUAGGGGCUGCUUUGUUUAAAUACGAAAUAACAUGCGGUUUGAAAUUAUAACUUUAUUUUGAAAGACUUUUGCACAUAAGUAAAAGGGUAGAACGACGCUGCUGCUCAAGGCACUCUGUUGGUAUGCCUCCUUGUGAUUAUGUGAAUUAAGGAGUAUGUGAAUCGCUUAGUUUCUUUGUUCGCGACGGAGGGGGCUGCCCGUCAUUAAACCUUCUUAACAUCUCCUAUUUCAUUGCUUCUUUUCAGUUCUUAUACGAAAAUUUUGGAAUUUGAAACUAUAUCACUCAUUUAAUUCUCUGUUCUUUUGUAUAUCUCGCCAUUUGUUAAGUUGGGAACAUAUUAAUUUUGUUAUGAUCAUUGUAGGGGGCUGUCACACAUUUUUUUUAGUAUGUAGUGACAUGUGGAUUGAAGUUUCAAAUAUGUUUUAAAGGGGUUCUGUGCUAAAGAGAGAAGUGAAAAGCUACGUUGAGCCAACCAUGUAUACCGUCUGUGUUUCGUUUAGUUCUUCUCUCUUUUGCCUAUUUCGAUUCCUUGAAUUUGUGUGUAUAAACUCUUAUUCUUUUUGGCAUGGAUGUCCGUCUUUUCAAUUUUAUUUGUCUUUCUUCUCGGCUAAUAAGUUUACCUAAGCCCAUAUAUAAGUGUUUGUCUAUCUAGGCUUUAAAAUAAUUUCCCUAAGUCUGGUUCAUGUUAACAUCAACAAAAAAAGGCCUUAGUUCUUACAGUACUUUGAAUAUUUGGUUUUGGUGGCUGAGUUUUUCUUAGCAUUGGAAGUUUUGCUCAUUUUAAGAUUGGGAUCAUUUUUUUCUUUUCUUCUUACAAUGAACAUCACUUUCCCUAAAUCUAGCCAUGUAAACCUCUCAUAUUUAAGCGUGUAUUUUGGUUGCACCAUUCCUGAAUGUAUGGGCUGUAUAAAGUAAUUUUUGAGUUUUCAUGGACCCGUGAGACUGUCCAAACUUGGUUCAAACCUAUGUUUUUGUCGUGUUUCUGUGGAUGAAUGUAAUUUUGGUCUUGAUAUUUUCAUUUUGUGUGUUAAUACGUGUGCGAAUAUAUGCAUUUGUGUUUUGUUUUGUUUUGGAUCGCUGGUGGUUUCUUGUCACAAAUCGAGUGCAUAAAUGGUUGAUUGCGAUUAUGGGGAAUUGUUGGUUGUGUUCUUGAUCUUUAUUCUUGGUUUUGAUGUGAGUCUGAUCUUUAUUCUCAACCCGUCGUGACUUUACUGUCGCCCUUUUGCAAAAUAUAGCUACCAGAUGGACUUUUAUUAUGGUUUUCGUGUUUCUAUCAUUGCCCAUUUCUUAGGAGUCUGAAACGUAAGGUAUUUUCGUCUAAGACCACAUAGCGACUUUGUUUUUGUACGUUCUGCCCAUCAUGUUCUUCAUAUAUGAUUCUUUCUUUUAAAUUAAAGGAUAACUACAAGUUUGUUAAUUAAAAAUGGAGUUAUGGCAUUCUGUUUCGAACGACAUUCAAAAUUAUUCAAGAAUAGUAUGUUUUGGAAUCUUAUUUUGUCUUCCCUGCAAAGUAAACGUUUAAUGUCUUCGUGCUUUAAGAAGUCUUCUCUCAUAUUGCGUCUUCGGUAUUUGCUCUUUUGCUAAAUGGAACGAAGACUGGGUUUUUCCCUUUCCACCUAAAUUUAGCCUUUUGUUUGAUGUUUUCUUGGGUAAUAUAUGUCCAGCUUUUUUUUUUUUGUGUGUGUUUGUUCUGCCCCCCUUUCUUUUCACUUUUAAUAGUUAUGUCUUGAUCUUAAUAAUAGCAUAAUGUAUGAUCAUCUCCUCUUCCAAUUGUUCGGAAAAUUUGUGUUUAAAGAUAUUAAGUUCUCACCAUUUGGUUUGUUAAAGUAAGUGGAAUUUUGUUCAAUGAAUGUUUUCAUCUUCUAAUUGAUACUUUUAUCUACAUUUCAUACAAGUAUUUAGUGACCUUUUUUAGAUUCCUCAUGUAUUCAUGGAAGUGAUUUUCCUCGUCUUGAUAGUCUGUUAGAUUAUAUUGUUCUCUUCUAAACAAAACUUACCAUAUAGCAAUUUUCUUAACGCCUUUUAAUAUUUUGUUGAUAAGAUUUGGUUUGAAAUAGAUAUUUCUCUCAUUGACAAAAUAUAUCCCUUCAAAUGUGUGCUCUGUUUUCUCAAUAUUCAAGUCAUAUACAUGUUUUCUUAAAGUUUUAAGAGAUUGCUCACUUGGCUUUGCAAAUUAUCUAAAUCUUUGAUGACAACUUCUUUCUUGGUGAUAUUCUCCUGUUUAGAUCAAUAAAAGAUGAAAUAUGACAUUAUAUCUCAUUAUUUGUGGUAUAAUUUAGUGUUCUCCUCAGUUAAUUAGUUAGUUCAAAUCUCUUUUUUAUCUUUUACAUGUGAAUUCGGGACUUGGGAGUUCCGAUGGAACUCAAUUGGGCCCAAACAUCUGGUCAACUGCCAUUAGGAUCGCAGAGCCUCGCAAAAUUAGAAGUUCAAACUCCGAAAAGGAGUCUAGUAUUCCUAGCUGUUUUUUCCUUUAAUUUACUCUUAUGAUGUUACGUCUUGUCUUUUGAAUGAUAACUAAUUCUAUUUUGUCGUUAAAUUUGCCUAGGGUAACUUUAUUUGCUUUAUAAUUGCUUUGUUACGUAUCAAAUCUUUAAAUAGGGCAGCAUUAUCAUGUUUUUUAGACUGACACUUGAUCGAUCAAUUCGUAAAGGUAAAAUUUCUUUAAAGAUUAGCGAAUUCUUUAGAAAAUUUGACCAAAUGUUUAAUUGAUUAUCUCACCUUAAAGAACAAUUUGUUAACAAAAUUGGACGUAGUAAUUCCUACGUUUGCUUAAAACAAAAAAAUAAGUUUUGAUAUUAAUUGGGUAGGAAAGUGAGUCGCUAAAGUUUUUUAGAUUUUAUCCGCUAAUUCCAACUUGCUUUAAUCUAUAUUUAUAAUAUAUUAAAAGUGUGAAGGUUUUUAGAAAAGUGAAUUGAACUAUUAUCCUUUAUUAAAAGACACUUCUUUAAACAUGAUCAUCUUUUCAC